UACGAAGGGGGCUAGCGUUGCUCGGAAUCACUGGGCGUAAAGCGCACGUAGGCGGAUUGCUAAGUCAGGGGUGAAAUCCUGGAGCUCAACUCCAGAACUGCCUUUGAUACUGGCGAUCUUGAGUCCGGGAGAGGUGAGUGGAACUGCGAGUGUAGAGGCGAAAUUCGUAGAUAUUCGCAAGAACACCAGUGGCGAAGGCGGCUCACUGGCCCGGUACUGACGCUGAGGUGCGAAAGCGUGGGGAGCAAACAGGGAU
rnacentral:rRNA from 1 species